GAGGGAAAGGUGAAAAGAACCCCGGUGAGGGGAGUGAAAUAGAACCUGAAACCGUGCGUCUACAACCAGUCGAAGGGCUAUGCCAGGUCCGUGCCCGCCCCUGUGGGGGAAAGGGCCGCUGGAAGGCCCGACGGCGUGCCUUUUGGAGAAUGAGCCGGCGAGUUACUCUCUGUGGCGAGGUUAAGCCAGUGACAGGCGGAGCCGUAGCGAAAGCGAGUCUGAAUAGGGCGAAUUGGUCGCAGGGAGUAGACACGAAACCGAGUGAUCUACCCAUGGCCAGGGUGAAGCGAAGGUAAUGCUUCGUGGAGGCCCGAACCCGUCACAGUUGCAAAUGUGUGGGAUGAGCUGUGGGUAGCGGUGAAAUGCCAAACGAACUCGGAGAUAGCUUGUUCUCCCCGAAAUAGCUUUAGGGCUAGCGUCACGCGUUUAGUGUCGGAGGUAGAGCACUGGAUCGGCUAGGGGGCUUACCGCUUACCAAACCGAACCAAACUCCGAAUGCCGAUACUCCAGAGCGUGACAGUCGGACUGCGGAAGAUGAGUUUCGUAGUCGAGAGGGAAAGAGCCCAGACCGCCAGCUAAGGUCCCCAAGUCUAGGCUAAGUGGGAAAGGAAGUGGGAUUACUCAGACAUCCAGGAGGUUGGCUUAGAAGCAGCCAUCCUUUAAAGAGUGCGUAACAGCUCACUGGUCUAGUGAUCCUGCGCCGAAAAUGUAACGGGGCUAAAGCCUAGCACCGAAGCUGCGGGAGGUCGGGGAUUGGUAAACUGGGAAUUGGUAAACUGGUAAAGUGGGGAUUGGUGUCUUGGCAAUCAAUUCAUCAACUACCCACCUACCAACUUACCAAUCUACCAACUACCAAUCUACCAACCUCGGUAGGGGAGCGUUCUGUCCAGCUGAGAAGGUAGACCGCGAGGACUACUGGAGCGGGCAGAAGUGAGAAUGCCGGCAUGAGUAGCGUAAAACACGUGAGAACCGUGUUCCCCGUAAGUCUAAGGUUUCCGACGGAAGGUCAAUCCGCGUCGGGUUAGUCGGGCCUAAGCCGAGGCCGAAAGGCGUAGGCGAUGGACAACAGGUUAAUAUUCCUGUACCACCGGGCCAGAGCGAUGGGGGGACGCAGAAGGGUAGGCCAGCCUGUAAUUGGAUUCAGGUGCUAAGCCUGUAGGGAGAUGACGAGGGUAGGUAAAUCCGCCCUCCGAUCCCGAGGGGUGAUGGCGGAGCGCUACGGCGCCACAAGUGGCUGAGCCCAUACUGCCAAGAAAAGCCUCUAAGCGAUGAAGGUCAGGUGCCCGUACCGCAAACCGACACUGGUAGACGGGUAGAGUAUACCAAGGGGAUCGGGAGAACCCUCGUUAAGGAACUAGGCAAAAUGGCUCCGUAACUUCGGGAGAAGGAGCGCCACGGUAAGGUGAGGCACAUAACGUAGCCGAGCCCGAGGUGGUCACAGAGAAACGGCCCUGCCGACUGUUUAACAAAAUCACAGGUCUCUGCAAACUCGUAAGAGGAUGUAUAGGGGCUGACGCCUGCCCAGUGCCGGAAGGUUAAAGGGAGGGGUUAGCGUAAGCGAAGCUCUGAACUGAAGCCCCGGUGAACGGCGGCCGUAACUAUAACGGUCCUAAGGUAGCGAAAUUCCUUGUCGGGUAAGUUCCGACCCGCACGAAUGGCGUAACGAGUGGGGCACUGUCUCAACGAGGGACCCGGCGAAAUUGAAGUAGCGGUGAAGAUGCCGUUUACCCGCAGCAGGACAAAAAGACCCCGUGGAGCUUUACUGUAGCUUGGUAUUGAGUUAGGGCUUAGCUUGUGUAGGAUAGGUGGGAGACUGUGAAGCUAGGGUGCUAGCCUUGGUGGAGUCGUCCUUGAAAUACCACCCUGGUUAAGCUUUUGCCCUAACCCGCGACCGUUAUCCGGCGUGGGGACAGUGCCUGGUGGGCAGUUUGACUGGGGCGGUCGCCUCCGAAAAGGUAACGGAGGCGCGCAAAGGUCCCCUCAGGCUGAAUGGAAACCAGCCGAAGAGUGCAAAGGCAUAAGGGGGCUUGACUGCGAGACCAACAAGUCGAGCAGAGACGAAAGUCGGCCUUAGUGAUCCCACGGUUCCGAGUGGAAGGGCCGUGGCUUAACGGAUAAAAGCUACCCCGGGGAUAACAGGCUAGUGAGGCCCAAGAGUUCACAUCGACGGCCUCGCUCGGCACCUCGAUGUCGGCUCAUCGCAUCCUGGGGCUGGAUAAGGUCCCAAGGGUUGGGCUGUUCGCCCAUUAAAGCGGUACGUGAGCUGGGUUCAGACCGUCGUGAGACAGGUCGGUCUCUAUCCGCUGUGGGCGUAGGGGAUUUGAGAGGAGCUGCCCUUAGUACGAGAGGACCAGGGUGGACAGACCGCUGGUGUGCCAGUUGUCCCGCCAGGGGCAUCGCUGGGUAGCCAUGUCUGGCAAGGAUAACCGCUGAAAGCAUCUAAGUGGGAAGCCUACCUCAAGAUAAGAUCCCCCACCGAGUAAAUCGGGUAAGCGCACCGGGAGACUACCGGUUGGAUAGGCGGCAAGUGUACGCACAGUAAUGUGCUCAGCUAAGCCGUACUAAUCGCGCGAGGGCUUAAUUCG
rnacentral:rRNA from 1 species